GCAAGUGAGGAGAACCCGCAAGGGGGACACCGGCGAACGGGGUAGGAAUAAGUAGGUAACGUACCCUCAGGACGGGCAUAGCCACGGGAAACUGUGGGUAAUACCCGAUGAUCUGGUCUGGUUUAAUUAUCGGAUCAGCAAAGGUGAGAUUCCACCUGAGGAGCGGCUUACGCGAUAUUAGCUUGUUGGCGAGGUAUUCGGCUCACCAAGGCUGCGAUAUCUAGGGGGUGUGAGAGCAUGGCCCCCACCACUGGGACUGAGAUACUGCCCAGACACCUACGGGUGGCUGCAGUCGAGAAUCUUCGGCAAUGGGCGAAAGCCUGACCGAGCGACGCCGCGUGCGGGACGAAGGCCUUCGGGUUGUAAACCGCUGUCGGGAGGGAUGAAGUGCACGGGGGCUAUCCCCUGUGUUUG
rnacentral:rRNA from 1 species